rnacentral:rRNA from 1 species
UACGGAGGAGGCAAGCGUUAUCCGGAAUUAUUGGGCGUAAAGCGUCCGCAGGUGGCACUUCAAGUCUGCUGUCAAAGACCGGGGCUUAACCCCAGAAAGGCAGUGGAAACUGAAGUGCUAGAGUGCAGUAGGGGUAGAGGGGAAUUCCCGGUGUAGCGGUGAAAUGCGUAGAGAUCGGGAAGAACAUCGGUGGCGAAAGCGCUGCUGCUGGACGCUGCAACUGACACUCAGGGACGAAAGCUAGGGGAGCGAAUGGG